AUCUCAGUUCGGAUUGCAGGCUGCAACUCGCCUGCAUGAAGCUGGAAUUGCUAGUAAUCGCGGAUCAGCAAGCCGCGGUGAAUACGUUCCCGGGCCUUGUACACACCGCCCGUCACACCAUGAGAGUCGGAACACCCGAAGUCCGUAGUCUAACCGCAAGGGGGCGCGGCCGAAGGUGGGUCCGGUAAUUGGGGUGAAGUCGUAACAAGGUAAC
rnacentral:rRNA from 1 species